rnacentral:rRNA from 1 species
UACGUAGGGUGCGAGCGUUAAUCGGAAUUACUGGGCGUAAAGCGUGCGCAGGCGGUUUGUUAAGACGGAUGUGAAAUCCCCGGGCUCAACCUGGGAACUGCAUUCGUGACUGGCAAGCUAGAGUAUGGCAGAGGGGGGUGGAAUUCCACGUGUAGCAGUGAAAUGCGUAGAGAUGUGGAGGAACACCGAUGGCGAAGGCAGCCCCCUGGGCCAAUACUGACGCUCAUGCACGAAAGCGUGGGGAGCAAACAGG